GACAGAGGCCCCAAGCGUUAGGCGGAAUCACUGGGCUUAAAGCGUGUGUAGGCGGAUCGUUAAGUGUCUUGUGAAAUCCCACGGCUCACCCGUGGAACUGCUGGGCAUACUGGCGAUCUUGGGCCAACUAGGGGCAGCCGGAACAAGCGGUGGAGCGGUGAAAUGCGUAGAUAUCGCUUGGAACGCCGAAGGUGAAAACAGGCCGCUGGGGUUGUGCCGACGCUGAGACACGAAAGCCAGGGGAGCAAACGGG
rnacentral:rRNA from 1 species